GUGAUGGAUGGAAGGAAGUGGCGAAUGAACGGAAAAGGGAGACAAGAUUAGGGGAAGGCGUUGGUAUGGGGGGAUUGGGAAGGAAUGAAUGAAUGUGACGUGCCUUCAAUGCUUCUUCCCUACACCUCCCAUACCAAUUUGCUUUUCCCUUGUUUCUCCCCCUUCCCUUCCUUUCUGUCGAAUGCUUCUGAGGUAAAUAUUUCUGCUAUGGAAUUCUUCCUUGAUUCGAAUGAACAAGUUGUUACAAUCGGAAAUGGGCAACAAUGACGAAGACGAAAGAAACUUCAUCAAAAUAAAGAUAAAGGACCUCGCACAAUUGCAAAACUGAGAACUGAGAGUGAGAACUGGGAUCUGGGAACGCCUCUCUGACUCUCACACGAUCGUCCUCGUCCCUCACCUCCGUCCAGCGACCGCGUCGUGCCGCCGCCGUCAUUCAUUCGAACAGCCACCUAAUCGUGCAACAGCCAUCGUUCCUUCGCCAAGCUACCUCUGUUGCGCAGCAGUCCUUCCUUCGAAUAGCCACUUCCAUCGCGAAGCAGUCGUCGUCCAUUUGAAGGUGCUCCACCACUGCUUGGUCACUUAGUGUCGCUGUCUCCCACUCUCCCUAUUGCAUGUUCUGUUGAAGUCUUGAAGGUGCCUUCGAACUUCCAGAGUUUCAGGGAUACCCAAUGACACUGAAAGCCCAGAUGCACACCUAUAUGAUCCAUAUCUGCAAGAUGUCCAAGAUCCUAAUGAGGAGAAUACUGAAGACCCAAUUACCUACUUACAUGACCCAAAUAUGAAUUUUAGAGCUGUCAAGUUGGCUUAUGAUAACACAUCAUCCUACUCAGACGGUGAUGGAACCCUUCUAAAAGACUAUUUUAAGUCGUUCGUCUAUUAAAGUAAGAGUCUUUACUAUGUAUAGUUAUUAAGCGCACUAAAAUAAAGUGACCACUGUCACUUAUCUAACUAAGUCAGCAAGAGAUAAAACUUAUUCUUAUCUUCCAGCUGGCAUUGUAUAAUAGACUUGUUUAGAAUAUGAUAUA